rnacentral:rRNA from 1 species
UACGAAGGUCCCAAACGUUAUCCGGAUUUAUUGGGUUUAAAGGGUGCGUAGGCGGGCUAUUAAGUCAGUGGUGAAAGCCCCAAGCUUAACUUGGGAACUGCCAUUGAUACUGAUGGUCUUGAGUACAUUUGAGGUGGGCGGAAUGUGUCAUGUAGCGGUGAAAUGCUUAGAUAUGACACAGAACACCGAUUGCGAAGGCAGCUCACUAAACUGUAACUGACGCUGAUGCACGAAAGCGUGGGGAGCAAACAGG